rnacentral:rRNA from 1 species
GUACACAAAAAUGCACAUAUUGUGAGCUCGAUGAGUAGGGCGGGACACGUGGUAUCCUGUCUGAAUAUGGGGGGACCAUCCUCCAAGGCUAAAUACUCCUGACUGACCGAUAGUGAACCAGUACCGUGAGGGAAAGGCGAAAAGAACCCCGGCGAGGGGAGUGAAAAAGAACCUGAAACCGUGUACGUACAAGCAGUGGGAGCCUCUUAAUGGGGUGACUGCGUACCUUUUGUAUAAUGGGUCAGCGACUUAUAUUCUGUAGCAAGGUUAACCGAAUAGGGGAGCCGAAGGGAAACCGAGUCUUAACUGGGCGUUAAGUUGCAGGGUAUAGACCCGAAACCCGGUGAUCUAGCCAUGGGCAGGUUGAAGGUUGGGUAACACUAACUGGAGGACCGAACCGACUAAUGUUGAAAAAUUAGCGGAUGACUUGUGGCUGGGGGUGAAAGGCCAAUCAAACCGGGAGAUAGCUGGUUCUCCCCGAAAGCUAUUUAGGUAGCGCCUCGUGAAUUCAUCUCCGGGGGUAGAGCACUGUUUCGGCAAGGGGGUCAUCCCGACUUACCAACCCGAUGCAAACUGCGAAUACCGGAGAAUGUUAUCACGGGAGACACACGGCGGGUGCUAACGUCCGUCGUGAAGAGGGAAACAACCCAGACCGCCAGCUAAGGUCCCAAAGUCAUGGUUAAGUGGGAAACGAUGUGGGAAGGCCCAGACAGCCAGGAUGUUGGCUUAGAAGCAGCCAUCAUUUAAAGAAAGCGUAAUAGCUCACUGGUCGAGUCGGCCUGCGCGGAAGAUGUAACGGGGCUAAACCAUGCACCGAAGCUGCGGCAGCGACACUAUGUGUUGUUGGGUAGGGGAGCGUUCUGUAAGCCUGUGAAGGUGGCCUGUGAGGGUUGCUGGAGGUAUCAGAAGUGCGAAUGCUGACAUAAGUAACGAUAAAGCGGGUGAAAAGCCCGCUCGCCGGAAGACCAAGGGUUCCUGUCCAACGUUAAUCGGGGCAGGGUGAGUCGACCCCUAAGGCGAGGCCGAAAGGCGUAGUCGAUGGGAAACAGGUUAAUAUUCCUGUACUUGGUGUUACUGCGAAGGGGGGACGGAGAAGGCUAUGUUGGCCGGGCGACGGUUGUCCCGGUUUAAGCGUGUAGGCUGGUUUUCCAGGCAAAUCCGGAAAACCAAGGCUGAGGCGUGAUGACGAGGCACUACGGUGCUGAAGUAACAAAUGCCCUGCUUCCAGGAAAAGCCUCUAAGCAUCAGGUAACAUCAAAUCGUACCCCAAACCGACACAGGUGGUCAGGUAGAGAAUACCAAGGCGCUUGAGAGAACUCGGGUGAAGGAACUAGGCAAAAUGGUGCCGUAACUUCGGGAGAAGGCACGCUGAUAUGUAGGUGAAGCGACUUGCUCGUGGAGCUGAAAUCAGUCGAAGAUACCAGCUGGCUGCAACUGUUUAUUAAAAACACAGCACUGUGCAAACACGAAAGUGGACGUAUACGGUGUGACGCCUGCCCGGUGCCGGAAGGUUAAUUGAUGGGGUUAGCGGUAACGCGAAGCUCUUGAUCGAAGCCCCGGUAAACGGCGGCCGUAACUAUAACGGUCCUAAGGUAGCGAAAUUCCUUGUCGGGUAAGUUCCGACCUGCACGAAUGGCGUAAUGAUGGCCAGGCUGUCUCCACCCGAGACUCAGUGAAAUUGAACUCGCUGUGAAGAUGCAGUGUACCCGCGGCAAGACGGAAAGACCCCGUGAACCUUUACUAUAGCUUGACACUGAACAUUGAGCCUUGAUGUGUAGGAUAGGUGGGAGGCUUUGAAGUGUGGACGCCAGUCUGCAUGGAGCCGACCUUGAAAUACCACCCUUUAAUGU